AAACCUCGAAACCGAGCAUCGACCUAGUCGGAGCCCGGUUCGGACUAUGGGAGUCUGCGGGCGAACCACGUCCGCUCUCCUCAAAAGCAUUAGCCGUGGGCAAGGGCCUCGCAUGGCACGGCCUCUUCGACGUCGUAAUGAUCGUCGUGGGCUGGAAGCGCGUCGCUCUAUGGACCCGUGCUUCCCUAGACUUGCGAGCCAGUUCGUAGGAACGGCCGCGCCGCAUCGAC
rnacentral:misc_RNA from 1 species